AAAGAACGAAGUCUGAUAUUUACUUGAUGUAAUUAUUAUUCAUAGAACAUUGUUGUCAAGUAUUAUCAAGAGGCUUGUUGAAUGAAAUUUAAAGAUUAAGAAUAUAAUAGCAGUAUAUGUCUUUAAUUUCAAGUGGUUAUAAAAAAUCAAUUUCCAUUGAACACAAUAGAUUCCCAUCGCUCGUUAACUGUAUCGACGCUAGUCAACAAACUAGUUGUGGCAAUCAUAAAUCAUGUCCGGAGGUGCUAUCCCAUUCCUUUAUUUUAUUUCAUGCCUUGGCUGACCCUGAUGGGGAAUUCGUUUUUGGGUUAAAUAAAUUUGGUCAAGUUCUUAGCCGGCUGUCCGUGAUCGAUAUAUUGAUUUUAAUUAACUCUGAGCUGAGCUGGCAUCCGAAAACGGAGACUCACGAAUGCCCAAGUUGGAUUCGAUUUGAGGUUGCCAGUAAUUUAACUUGACUGUGAUUCCCUUCAAGUCCGCACACAUGGGCGGAACUCAUAAGUUAUUGAAGAGUCCUGCUUGUUAAGUGACAUAUAUACUGUAUAUUGACCAUUAUUUUUGCCGUCCCUCCGUGCCCUGUAGUUGCAUCCGGAGAAUGUGUGAAGAGCUGCCCCCCGUCUGAAUAAGGAUGAACCGCUACAUCACGCUGACCCAGUUGGGCGAUGGAACCUACGGCACCGUGGUCCUGGGCCAGCGCAAGGACACCGGCGAGAAGGUGGCCAUAAAGCGCAUGAAGCGCAAGUACUACUCCUGGGAAGAGGCCAUGAAUCUGCGCGAGGUCAAGUCGCUGAAAAAACUGUCCCAUCCAAACAUCGUCAAGCUGAAGGAGGUGAUCCGGGAGAACGACACCCUGUACUUUGUGUUCGAGUACAUGAAGGAGAACCUCUACCAAAUGAUCAAGGACCGGGACACCCAUCUUCCCGAGCCGGAGCUGAAAAGUAUACUCUUUCAGGUUUUGACUGGACUGGCCUUCAUGCACCGCCACGGCUUUUUCCACCGCGACCUGAAGCCGGAGAACUUGCUCUGCUCCGGUCCGGACCUCAUCAAGAUAGCCGACUUCGGUCUGGCCAGGGAGAUCCGGUCGCGGCCUCCGUUCACGGACUACGUCUCGACGCGUUGGUACCGGGCACCGGAGGUGCUCCUGCACUCCACCAACUACGGCAGCACCAUCGACCUCUGGGCCAUGGGCUGCAUCAUGGCCGAGCUCUACACCUUCCGACCGCUCUUCCCGGGCAGCAGCGAGGUGGAUCAGCUCUUCAAGAUUUGCUCCGUGCUGGGUACGCCAGAGAAGGGCGAUUGGCCGGAUGGAUAUCGGCUGGCGAGCAUGAUCCACUUCCGAUACCCGGACUGCAUCAAAGUGCCACUGAGCAGCGUCGUCAGCCGCUGCAGCCAAAACGGACUGGACCUGCUGGAGGACAUGCUGGCCUACGAUCCCGACAAGCGACCGACGGCCCAGCAGAGCCUCAAAUAUCCGUAUUUCCAUGCCCUCAAGCGGAUCUCGCCCACGGCGGCCACCAAGGCGAAUGUGCGGCUCAGCUCGAAGUAUGCGGCGUCCAAUGCCAAUGGCCAUCCCGCCCAGGCAGUGUCCAACAAUGUGCUUCCGGUGCAGGAGAAGCUGCAGGCGGUCACCGAGUUGCUCCACCAGAGCAACAACAACAACAACAACAACAACAACAUCGUUAUCAAUAGCCACUCCAAUCUUGGCAAGAACAGCAAUCAGGCGGCCAAGAAUGGAGGAAUGCCGAGAAAGUACCAACCGAAGCUGAGCUUCCUGACCAGCCACGACAUGGGUGCGGGUUCGCUGGCCGAUUCCUCUAGCCUGGGAGGAGCCACGACGGACGGGCUCCAGGGGCCGCAGAUGCAGAACGGGAGCGAGUCCAUAAACGACAUCUACCUGAACCGCAACAUCUCGCAGCUCUUUGGCCUGCCGGCUGGAUCGCAGCACCCGCACCACCCGCACCACCCGAACGUCUCCUUCAGCACCACCACGUCCCGGAAUGCCGGCGCCAUCUACGUCAAUGGCAGCCACCUCAGCUACGACACGGCCAACAUGAAUGCCAAGAACGCCGGUGCCAAGCUCAUGGUGGGCGCAUCCAAUGGUGGCUACUACGUGCCGGUGGCCAGGCCAUCACUCCUCGGCCCCGAUGCCAAAGUGUACAACGUGUUCUCCAAGGUCAGUGCCAGCCAGGCUCCUCCGAGCCUCAUUGUGCGCCAGCCGCAACUGCAACCGGAUGCGGGUCCUCCACCAUUGCGACUCUCGGGAAGAUCGCGGGCUGCAGCCCAGGAAUCCAAAAUGAGUGCUCUGAAGUCCGACGAUCUGGAUAUGAUACUCGGAUCCAAGCUGAAAACCUCCGCCAAGCGUCAGCGCAAUGCCAAGGCCAACAUCCUGCUGGAGGACCUGUUCGGGCAGCUGUCCAUGGACUCCGACAGCGACGGCAAGUACCCGCACACGGUGCCGCCCACGCAGCAGGCGAAGAGUGGCAAGACGUCGACGUCGACGGGCGGUGGAAAUGGCCAUGGCCCCCGGGAGCGGGAUCUCUUCGGGGAGAGCUUCCUGCCCAGGCCGGGAUUGCGGAAGAAGGCCACCCAGAGCAGCCUGGAGGUGAACAACGGCAGCCAUGCGGACUCGCUAGCUCAAAACACUCAGAAGGAGAAGCCCGCGGUGGCAGCCAGUUUCCCCUGGGAUGAAACCAACAAGACGGAGGACGAGAAGCUGACGGCUUGGAUGGUGGCCGAGAAUGGUAACUUGGUUUUGGGUAGUCAUCAGCAAGCGUAGAAGUCGAGAGCACUCCCCCCAGUCCACAAUAAGUAGUCUCUUAGCAAUCACCCCAUUGGAACUUGCAAAUGGAUCGCUGCUGGAGAACAAAUUCUGAGGAGAUGGAUCGUUGUACCUGAAACAGAAUGAAUGGAGUAAAUUAAAGUGCCUGCAUUGAUCUGCGUAAUUUCGAACUGAAUCCAAAUAUAAGUCCAAAUCACCAAGCUAUGGAGCCAUGGAGCAAUGGAAUUGAUGGAAUCAACGGAUCGGCGUGUAGAGUUAGUCUAGUCUCGAUAUAAUGUUAUUGCUGUGAUACAACUAAGCUAAACUAUUGUGUAAAGUAGCCUACGAACUUGAGCCUCGAGUCUAAGUUGUACUUUAAGCUACUAUACGAUAAUAUAAUCCGAGUGAGUUUUGAAUCGAUUGCAAACAAAAAGUUGAAGGCAAGUGCAGGGAUUUGGUUUCAUUUCCAACAUGGCAGGGCUAUAUGGGUUGCAUAAGGGGUAUUUGAUUUC